rnacentral:lncRNA from 1 species
CAAGAGUAUUAUCCAGUUCUUCUCCCAUUUCAUGUAUUUUCUAUGAGCAUCAUAUUCUAUGAAAGUAGUAGUAUUUGAGUUUAUGACUGCGUCCAUCAUCCUUCCAACAAAUUGGUAUCAGAGCAAGAUCGAUCCUAAAGUAACUAUCAAAGCAUAGGGUUGAUUCUAUAGCAACUCACAGAGCCUAAGAGCUAUAAAGCC